rnacentral:lncRNA from 1 species
AUGGAAAUGUGGCUGAAACGGUUGACUCUGGUGUUACUCACAGCAGCAGCGCUGGUGACAUCAGACCAAGAUCUUGUGAUUCUGGAUGAAAAACAAAACAAAGUGGAAGUUCUUGUCGGCUCCUCUGUGACUUUCGACUGCCGUAUAAUGCCGGCGACACCUGAUAGACAUCGGGUGGUUUGGCGCUUUAGCGCCUCAGGAUCUUCAGUCAAUGACUCAUACAAGAUCAACAAUUCUUCAGGAGAGCUGAACAAUACAAAAUAUAUUUUAUUAAAUGCAACAGACAAGAACAGCGGAUGGUACUUUUGCCAAAUCAUCGUUGAGAUUCCCUUAUUAAAUAUUACUAACAGCAGUGGAACACAAGUAGUUGUUAGUAAGUAUUUCUUGUAACUGAUAAAGCCGGUAACACUUUACUUCAAUACCCCAAUUUUACAUUGAUAAGCAGUAUACAAAAAAAAGUAAUGAUUGAUUUAUAACAAACUAUAAUGGAUUUGUGCACAGCUAUAAGGAUAUUUGUCAGCAAUUAUUACUUCUCCUGUGAAGACACAUUUUCUAUUAUUAUAACUGUCUUCAUUAUCUGUUUAUACACCAGCCUCCACUUAUUGGUGCCCACAGCAGGAGUUAUAGUUGUUAAAAAACUACAUACUACGACCUAUUACAUGUUUACAUACUGCUUAUAAAUGCAAAGUAGUGGUACAUAAAAUAAAGUUGCCAUAAAGCUUAAUACGAGGGAUUCAUAAAAUAUUCUGGCUUGCUAUUACUAAAUGAAAGUAUAAUAUCCUUUUCUCCGUGACAGCGAAGAGCAAGGAACAUACAACGUACCCGCCACUACCCAUAGUGACGGGUAAACAAGGUUUGUGUGUGUGCGUGUGUGUGUGUGUGUGUGUGUGUGUGUGUGUGUGUGUGCACCCAGGGUUGGGUCAGAUUACUAUAAAUGUAGUAAAUUACUGAAUACAAAUUGACAAUAAAAUAUUUUGAAUCUAAUCUGAAUACUUUAAAAUCAAACUAUAUCUAACUAUAAUCUAAUUGCAUUUUUUCAAAUGUAAUCUGGGCUGAUUAUAAUUACUUAUGUUUUGUAAACUGAUGACAUAAUCCUGAUUGCAAUUCCCAACCCUGUGUAUACCUAGCUCUUAUGAACACUAACGCACGGUGCAUUUUUAGUCUCAGCACAGUCUGAGCUGUUAUCCUGCUGGAAGUGUUUAUUUUCAGGUGACCCCUCGAUGAGACCUCAGGGGUGAGGAGGAGAUCUUUUAUGUUGUGAGGUCUUGUACAUUGGCCAGUGUGAUAAUGACUUGUAAUCUAUUUGUGCUCAAAGACUAUAUUUAGUAUGAUAAACUACAGCUCUUAAAAUCUGGUACGGACAUACUCUGGGCAAGUAUCUUUUUUUAGGUCACACUUGCUAACAUCGUGUUCAUUAAAUGUCU